rnacentral:rRNA from 1 species
GACGAACGCUGGCGGCGUGCUUAACACAUGCAAGUCGAACGGAAAGGCCCUGCUUUUGUGAGGUGCUCGAGUGGCGAACGGGUGAGUAACACGUGAGUAACCUGCCCUUGACUUUGGGAUAACUUCAGGAAACUGGGGCUAAUACCGGAUAGGAGCUCCUGCUGCAUGGUGGGGGUUGGAAAGUUUCGGCGGUUGGGGAUGGACUCGCGGCUUAUCAGCUUGUUGGUGGGGUAGUGGCUUACCAAGGCUUUGACGGGUAGCCGGCCUGAGAGGGUGACCGGCCACAUUGGGACUGAGAUACGGCCCAGACUCCUACGGGAGGCAGCAGUGGGGAAUAUUGCACAAUGGGCGGAAGCCUGAUGCAGCAACGCCGCGUGCGGGAUGACGGCCUUCGGGUUGUAAACCGCUUUCGCCUGUGGCGAAGCGUGAGUGACGGUAAUGGGUAAAGAAGCACCGGCUAACUACGUG